AAAUGAGGAUUUUCCUCCCAGUUUUGUUUAGACAGCUGUACAGAUGGAUCUGUGAACUGGGUGGUACAGAACAGCAGGCCGUUUCCCCGGCUGCUGAUAAGGACGGUGGGAAUGAACACAGCCCUGGUGCUGGGGAGUAGCUUUGUCUCUGCCUCUGCCUGGGGAGAAGGGAGUAGGGGGCACAGAGGAGAAACUAGAGUUCUGUAAAGCUGGGGACUGCUGACUGGAAAUGCCACUCAGGAAAGCAGGAUCGUCCAAGCGGAGGAAGGCGGCCUUGCAG
rnacentral:lncRNA from 1 species